rnacentral:rRNA from 1 species
GACGAACGCUGGCGGCGUGCUUAACACAUGCAAGUCGAACGGUAAGGCCCUUCGGGGUACACGAGUGGCGAACGGGUGAGUAACACGUGGGUGAUCUGCCCUGCACUUCGGGAUAAGCCUGGGAAACUGGGUCUAAUACCGGAUAGGACUCCGGACUGCAUGGUCUGGGGUGGAAAGCUUUUGCGGUGUGGGAUGGGGCCGCGGCCUAUCAGCUUGUUGGUGGGGGGAUGGCCUACCAAGGCGACGACGGGUAGCCGGCCUGAGAGGGUGACCGGCCACACUGGGACUGAGAUACGGCCCAGACUCCUACGGGAGGCAGCAGUGGGGAAUAUUGCACAAUGGGCGCAAGCCUGAUGCAGCGACGCCGCGUGAGGGAUGACGGCCUUCGGGUUGUAAACCUCUUUCAGCAUCGACGAAGCGAAAGUGACGGUAGGUGCAGAAGAAGGACCGGCCAACUACGUGCCAGCCGCCGCGGUAA